AACGUAGGGGGCAAGCGUUGCCCGGAUUCACUGGGCGUAAAGCGCGUGUAGGCGGUCCGUUAAGUCGGAUGUGAAAUCUCUGGGCUUAACCCAGAAAUCGCAUCCGAUACUGGCGGACUUGAGGACGGUAGAGGUAGGUGGAAUUCCGGGUGUACCGGUGAAAUGGACAGAUAUCCGGAGGAACACCAGUGGCGAAGGCGGCCUACUGGGCCGAUCCUGACGCUGAGACGCGAAAGCCAGGGGAGCGAACAGG
rnacentral:rRNA from 1 species